CGACAAAACGUUCAUCGAUGGAUGAAUUUUUUGAAAAGGGGGUGAAAAUUUUGCUCGAAUCACCCUAAAAUGAGAGUGUGUGCGUGGCUGGCUGUAUCGCGAUAGAGUUCGGCGUGUGUCGAAUGAAUGUUCAAAAAGGUCGUAGUAGGCUAAAAAUCUGUUUUUCUGUUUUCGCUCGGUCACUGUCUAGUUUCAUGCGGGAAUAGUUCGUGAAUUGUGGAUUGCGUCAGUUCGUGGACUGUAUAUUCGAUUGUGAAAUAGUGUUUGCCAAGUUGUUCCAGUUCUAGUUCUAAAAGGAUGUUCCUGUGACGGCACUGGUAAGUUGUACCGCCAGCGUGAUAACCUGUUGGAGCAGACUUCAGCUGAAUACGACGAUGCAGAGGCAGGACAAGCUGUUUCAAGACAUUUGAAAAGCGACGCGUGGGGACAUAUGGCCACAGUUAACGGUCCUCAUAUCUAGAGGUUUUUGCGCGCGGUUGUGGUCAUAUCUAGAAGAUUUUUUAUCGAAACUGGCCGCAAAUUCAGGAAGCAGGAAGGAUUCAAGUGCCGUAGUGUGAAAUACUUCGUCAAAAGAGAAAUGCGCGUAUUUUCUAACAAGUGUGCCUACGCGUCCCUUUGGCCUACUGCUUCAAAGGUAGGCUACCCUGUACAAUCAAUGUCAUGGCGUCUAACGCAAUCGGUUGAACAUUCUGUAUCCUUUUCCUCUUGCAGCUAACUCAUACUUCUUGUUGGUCGCCCUCGGAUAGGGCGUAUGAAUUGACGACCACAUCUUUUUCGCAUCAUUUGAAAGGAACAAAUUAUGGGACAUGCUCGUGAUUAUCCAGUUCUAUUAUGCACCUGCCAAUGGAAGUGAAAGACAAGCCAACCUUAGUAUUGGUUGUUUUUGCUGCUGAUCGGUUCUAAAUCGGAUAGUGGAAACCGCUCUUGUUGACACUCUAUAUAGGCGCUGGAUUGGAUUUUUCUUCGCUCUGAUCACAGUGCGUGACCUUGGUUUAUUGUGGCAAUCUAUCAGUCAACUAACAUUCCCUUCAGGUAAGUAUUGUCCAUUCUUAUGGACGAUUGUUGUAUUGUUUUUCGUAUGUAUAUCUAAUGGAGCAUACUUUUUCAGGCAAAACACGUUCGGUCCUCCGUACACAUCGUAUUUCCGUAAGAAUUACACCUUAAAUUUGAAGGAGACAAUGUUUUAUCUGCGCCUAGCGUCUCUACAAACCGCAACUGAUCAAGCUUGCCGUUAAUCCUCCGUCUAGGAUACUAUACAGCGCCAAAGGUGAAGGUCGGGUCCAAUCAUAAGCCAACUCAAGUACGGGAAUCACCAGUUGAUACGAAUUUUUGUUGAUUUGAACUUUGUAUUUGCCGUUUCUUAUUGAUCGAUCUGAGAUUCCAUUUUCAGACUCAUGACGGAAUAAAAGAUUCACAAACAAAGUGGUAAUGCGAUCAAAAUGAAAUCGAGAUCGCACCCGAUACCAAAGUCAAGGACACGAUGUUAGUUUCUUUCGAAACACGCUGGCAAUUUCAUGGAAGAUUUUUGACUGUAUCUUUUUCUUUGUUACACGAUGUGAAUCUAUUGGAAACUUAUACUCGGACGGGGGGAAAUGUCCUUGUUUAUGUAUUGUUUAUGCUGCACCGAUCGAAGCUAACAGCGUGGUUAUGAAAAGGGUUGCAAAUAGUGAGCGAAAUCAUGUGUACCAGGAUUUCAAACCACUGCUUAAGGUGGCGCAGUGUAUGAGCAUUGAAAAUUGUACGCUCUCUAGAUGGAAGCUGGAUUUCUUUGGGUAUGGUCAUUCUAAACUGUCUAAACUAUGUAGAAAAUGGGAAUAGAAAAAAUGGGUUGAAGGAUAAUUUAUAGCUUCACCGGGAAUAAAAUAAAAAAUUGUAUUAUUUUUGUUAAAAACAAAAAAUGUUUUCAUUACUCCGUUGAAAAUCAACGGUGCGGAAGAACGAUUGAAAAUGAACAUUACAGCGUAAAAAUGAACCUAACGAAAAAGCGCUCAUGAAAUAAUGAAUCUCAC